AGAGUUUGAUCCUGGCUCAGGACGAACGCUGGCGGCACGCCUAACACAUGCAAGUCGAACGGAGAUGAUUUGAGUUUACUUAGAUCAUCUUAGUGGCGGACGGGUGAGUAACACGUGAGCAACCUGCCUUUGAGAGAGGGAUAGCUUCUGGAAACGGAUGGUAAUACCUCAUAACAUACAGAUACCGCAUGGUGACUGUAUCAAAGAUUUAUCACUCAAAGAUGGGCUCGCGUCUGAUUAGAUAGUUGGUGAGGUAACGGCUCACCAAGUCGACGAUCAGUAGCCGGACUGAGAGGUUGAACGGCCACAUUGGGACUGAGACACGGCCCAGACUCCUACGGGAGGCAGCAGUGGGGAAUAUUGCACAAUGGGGGAAACCCUGAUGCAGCGAUGCCGCGUGGAGGAAGAAGGUUUUCGGAUUGUAAACUCCUGUCUUAAAGGACGAUAAUGACGGUACUUUAGGAGGAAGCUCCGGCUAACUACGUGCCAGCAGCCGCGGUAAUACGUAGGGAGCGAGCGUUGUCCGGAAUUACUGGGUGUAAAGGGAGCGUAGGCGGGACGGCAAGUCAGAUGUGAAAUACAUGGGCUCAACCCAUGGGCUGCAUUUGAAACUGCUGUUCUUGAGUGAAGUAGAGGUAAGCGGAAUUCCUGGUGUAGCGGUGAAAUGCGUAGAUAUCAGGAGGAACACCGGUCGCGAAGGCAGCUCACUGGAGCGCAACUGACGCUGAAGCUCGAAAGUGCGGGUAUCGGACAGGAUUAGAUACCCUGGUAGUCCGCACGGUAAACGAUGGAUGCCCGCUGUUGGUCUGAAUAGGUCAGCGGCCAAGCGAAAGCAUUAAGCAUCCCACCUGGGGAGUACGCCGGCAACGGUGAAACUCAAAGGAAUUGACGGGGGCCCGCACAAGCGGAGGAACAUGUGGUUUAAUUCGAUGAUACGCGAGGAGCCUUACCCGGGCUUGAAUUGCAGAGGAAGGAUUUGGAGACAAUGACGCCCUUCGGGGCCUCUGUGAAGGUGCUGCAUGGUUGUCGUCAGCUCGUGCCGUGAGGUGUCGGCUUAAGUGCCAUAACGAGCGCAACCCCUCUCCUUAGUUGCCAUCAGGUUAAGCUGGGCACUCUGGGGACACUGCCACCGUAAGGUGUGAGGAAGGUGGGGAUGACGUCAAAUCAGCACGGCCCUUACGUCCGGGGCUACACACGUGUUACAAUGGCAGGUACAGAGAGACGGUCCCUUGCAAAACGGAUCAAAUCCUUAAAGCCUGUCUCAGUUCGGACUGGGGUCUGCAACCCGACCCCACGAAGCUGGAUUCGCUAGUAAUCGCGCAUCAGCCAUGGCGCGGUGAAUACGUUCCCGGGCCUUGUACACACCGCCCGUCAAGCCAUGAAAGCCGGGGGCGCCUAAAGUCCGUGACCGUAAGGAGCGGCCUAGGGCGAAACUGGUAAUUGGGGCUAAGUCGUAACAAGGUA
rnacentral:rRNA from 1 species